AUAUUCUUCGGCUCCAUAUUUCCUUUUAGUACUUCAAGUACCAUAUAGACAAAUCUCUCUCUCCGUUUUUUAAGAUGAAAAGAGUUGAAGCCCAUAACAAAUUAAACGCUGGCUCAUUUGUGGGCGUAACUUCGUAGGUUUAUAUACACAAGCCGCAACACAAUAAAUCAUUCGAAUCAUUUCAUCUUUUAUCAUAUUUUUUCAUUAACUUCACAUCAAAAAGAUCUUUACAAUUCUUU
rnacentral:misc_RNA from 1 species